UGGGAAUCGAGUGUCACUGUCUCCCUGACUGAGAUAUCUUCCAUAGCGGGCUCCAUCCUAGGUCUGUGUGAUCCAGCCAUGACUUAUUACUUGAGCUCCUCGGCUGCUGAUGGCUCUGCCGUGUUCCAGCUCCUGCCUCCUGGAGUUGUGAAUUCCAGUUUCCAGGAUUCUUACAUCUCAUAUGGAUUUCCAGUUCAUGAGAAUGAGCAUAAGUGGAGUCAUCCCUUGUGGAAGAACCCAAUGAACCAGGAGGUUCCAUGUGGUGCAGACAUAGCAGGUAUAU